rnacentral:tRNA from 1 species
GGAGAGAUGGCAGAGUCUGGCUGAAUGCGCCGCACUCGAAAUGCGGUUUACACCUUGCGUGUAACGGGGGUUCGAAUCCCUCUCUCUCCG